rnacentral:rRNA from 1 species
UACGUAGGGCGCAAGCGUUGUCCGGAAUUAUUGGGCGUAAAGAGCUCGUAGGUGGCUUGUCGCGUCUGCCGUGAAAGCCCAUGGCUUAACUGUGGGUCUGCGGUGGAUACGGGCAGGCUGGAGGCUGGUAGGGGCAAGCGGAAUUCCUGGUGUAGCGGUGAAAUGCGCAGAUAUCAGGAGGAACACCGGUGGCGAAGGCGGCUUGCUGGGCCAGUUCUGACGCUGAGGAGCGAAAGCGUGGGGGGCGAACAGG